GCUGACACAUCCCGGCCAAUCUCCAGCAGACCCUCCCUCCCAGUCCCUCCUACUUCCUGGACAGCAUCCAUGUUGAAGGCAGCUUCAACAUGGAUGCUGUCCAGGAGGUGGGAGGGUCUGGGAGGGAGGGUCUGCCGGAGAUUGGCAGGGAUGUGUCCG